CAGCCGCCGCGGUAAUACAGAGGGUGCGAGCGUUAAUCGGAUUUACUGGGCGUAAAGCGUGCGUAGGCGGCUAAUUGAGUCGGAUGUGAAAUCCUCGAGCUUAACUUGGGAAUUGCAUUCGAUACUGGUUAGCUAGAGUGUGGGAGAGGAUGGUAGAAUUCCAGGUGUAGCGGUGAAAUGCGUAGAGAUCUGGAGGAAUACCGAUGGCGAAGGCAGCCAUCUGGCCUAACACUGACGCUGAGGUACGAAAGCAUGGGGAGCAAACAGGAUUAGAUACCCGCGUAGUCCCUGUCUCUUAUAC
rnacentral:rRNA from 1 species